rnacentral:lncRNA from 1 species
CCUUGUCUUAUUCUAAUUCGUCUUCUAGGCACCACUUUCCUCACUGAUAAGAUGAGCGGAUGCAGAUUUACAUCAGAAGAGAUAAGGCCACAGGUGUCAGAGAAACAUUCUCAGAGGCAUAACAUUUAAUUCUCUUGAGCAUUAAAUACCCUUUUAAUACUUUUGUUUACUUAUAAAGGGACAGAAGUAUCUUCCUGACUGAAAUGUCCAUUGUUGCUCCCACAGAUGACAUGGCAAUGCAUAUGACUUCUGCAUUUGGGGAAUACCAGUUCAUACAGGAAACAUGCCUGAUUUUAUUUCCUAUCUCAGCAAGAACAAAGUUAUGGGUGAAGUCUCUGUCACAGAAUGGAGACUUACCUGAAUGAAAAGCAUCAGUGGCUUUAUUGUCUGGCAUUUGAAUUUGGCCAAUAAUAGACAUUAGUAGAAUAUUGAGAGGAG